UCUCAUACCACGACACAUCCCGACACCCGCACAAAACCGUAUCACUCUCCAAACCACCUUCACGUUGCCGAAGUUCAGUCGCAGUCACCGGAGAAACCCGCAAGACGCCAUAACCAUCGGAGACCGAGAAGACGACGGAGAUACCCUCAUCGGAGAUAUACGGGUUGCCACGGACCGUUCCUGCCAACUGCCGAGUUCGAAACGUCGGUAGAAUUACUGCAACUUCGCCGGAGAUAAAGAAGACGUCGCCGGGAAGCUCAAGUAUUGCCGGAGGUCGGAACCGACGCCGGAGACGACCGAAGCCACGACGAGAAUCACACAUCGUCAUUCGGUUAAUCGUUGAGGUGAUACUUCAAGAUGAAACGCGAUUUAGGGUGGACUAGAUACACACCUAGAUUAAUCUAUCUUUUAUUGUUAUGUUUUGUUAUGAAACAAUGUUGUUAUUUCUAUUUGAACCUUGUAUGACGUUUAUGUUAUGA
rnacentral:lncRNA from 1 species